rnacentral:tRNA from 1 species
GUGGAAUUGUGGCUCAGUGGUAGAGUGUUUGCCUGGCAUAUGUGAGGCACUGGGUUCAAUCCUCAGCACCACA